CCUACGGGUGGCAGCAGUGGGGAAUAUUGCACAAUGGGGGAAACCCUGAUGCAGCGACGCCGCGUGAAGGAAGAAGUAUUUCGGUAUGUAAACUUCUAUCAGCAGGGAAGAAAAUGACGGUACCUGACUAAGAAGCCCCGGCUAACUACGUGCCAGCAGCCGCGGUAAUACGUAGGGGGCAAGCGUUAUCCGGAUUUACUGGGUGUAAAGGGAGCGUAGGCGGCGAUGCAAGUCAGAAGUGAAAGCCCGGGGCUCAACUCCGGGACUGCUUUUGAAACUGGGUUGCUAGAGUGCAGGAGAGGUAAGUGGAAUUCGUAGUGUAGCGGUGAAAUGCGUAGAUAUUAGGAGGAACACCAGUGGCGAAGGCGGCUUACUGGACUGUAAAUGACGCUGAGGCUCGAAAGCGUGGGGAGCAAACAGGAUUAGAUACCCGAGUAGUC
rnacentral:rRNA from 1 species